rnacentral:rRNA from 1 species
GACGAACGCUGGCGGCGUGCUUAACACAUGCAAGUCGAACGGAAAGGCCCUGCUUUUGUGGGGUGCUCGAGUGGCGAACGGGUGAGUAACACGUGAGUAACCUGCCCUUGACUUUGGGAUAACUUCAGGAAACUGGAGCUAAUACCGGAUAGGAGCUCCUGCUGCAUGGUGGGGGUUGGAAAGUUUCGGCGGUUGGGGAUGGACUCGCGGCCUAUCAGCUUGUUGGUGGGGUAGUGGCUUACCAAGGCUUUGACGGGUAGCCGGCCUGAGAGGGUGACCGGCCACAUUGGGACUGAGAUACGGCCCAGACUCCUACGGGAGGCAGCAGUGGGGAAUAUUGCACAAUGGGCGGAAGCCUGAUGCAGCAACGCCGCGUGCGGGAUGACGGCCUUCGGGUUGUAAACCGCUUUCGCCUGUGACGAAGCGUGAGUGACGGUAAUGGGUAAAGAAGCACCGGCUAACUACGUG